GAUGAACGCUGGCGGCGUGCCUAAUACAUGCAAGUCGAGCGAACAGAUGAGGAGCUUGCUCCUCUGACGUUAGCGGCGGACGGGUGAGUAACACGUGGAUAACCUACCUAUAAGACUGGGAUAACUUCGGGAAACCGGAGCUAAUACCGGAUAAUAUAUUGAACCGCAUGGUUCAAUAGUGAAAGACGGUUUUGCUGUCACUUAUAGAUGGAUCCGCGCCGCAUUAGCUAGUUGGUAAGGUAACGGCUUACCAAGGCAACGAUGCGUAGCCGACCUGAGAGGGUGAUCGGCCACACUGGAACUGAGACACGGUCCAGACUCCUACGGGAGGCAGCAGUAGGGAAUCUUCCGCAAUGGGCGAAAGCCUGACGGAGCAACGCCGCGUGAGUGAUGAAGGUCUUCGGAUCGUAAAACUCUGUUAUGAGGGAAGAACAAAUGUGUAAGUAACUAUGCACGUAUUGACGGUACCUAAUCAGAAAGCCACGGCUAACUACGUG
rnacentral:rRNA from 1 species